rnacentral:SRP_RNA from 1 species
ACCUAGGAUCCGCACUAUUGAGUGUUACCUAAUCCCGUCAGGACUGGAAGGUAGCAGCGGUAAGUAAUUACUUGGUGAGUGCGUAAGUCUUAGGUUUA